AGAGUUUGAUCAUGGCUCAGGAUGAACGCUAGCUACAGGCUUAACACAUGCGAAGUCGAGGGGGCAGCAUGACCUAGCAAUAGGUUGAUGGCGACCGGCGCACGGGUGAGUAACACGUAUCCAACCGUACCGGUUAUUCCGGGAUAGCCUUUCGAAAGAAAGAUUAACUACCGGAUAGUAUAACGAGAAGGCAUCUUCUUGUUAUUAAAGAAUUUCGAUAACCGAUGGGGAUGCGUUCCAUUAGUUUGUUGGCGGGGUAACGG
rnacentral:rRNA from 1 species